AAGUCGUAACAAGGUCUCCGUUGGUGAACCAGCGGAAGGAUCAUUAACACUUCGUUAAUACCAUAAAACCAAAUGUGAACUGUACGUCCCUGUUGUCACAGUUUCUUCAAUUGAUUUCGGUCGAUUGGAGCAGCUGCGCACAGCAGACAAUACCCCUACUAGUAGUUGUUAUCAACUUCUAGGUAAUUCAUUUUACCGAUGAAGUUGCUAACAAUGAACUAUUAACCAAUUUAACCCUACAACUAAAAAUUGUCUAAUCUUCAUAACUUAUCGACUGCUUCUGUGGUUAAUAAGCUUACGAAAUAACGAACAACUCUUAGCAAUGGAUAUCUUGGGUCAU
rnacentral:misc_RNA from 1 species